GAUGAACGCUGGCGGCGUGCCUAAUACAUGCAAGUCGAGCGAACAGACGAGGAGCUUGCUCCUUUGACGUUAGCGGCGGACGGGUGAGUAACACGUGGAUAACCUACCUAUAAGACUGGGAUAACUUCGGGAAACCGGAGCUAAUACCGGAUAACAUGUUGAACCGCAUGGUUCAACAGUGAAAGACGGUCUUGCUGUCACUUAUAGAUGGAUCCGCGCCGCAUUAGCUAGUUGGUAAGGUAACGGCUUACCAAGGCAACGAUGCGUAGCCGACCUGAGAGGGUGAUCGGCCACACUGGAACUGAGACACGGUCAAGACUCCUACGGGAGGCAGCAGUAGGGAAUCUUCCGCAAUGGGCGAAAGCCUGACGGAGCAACGCCGCGUGAGUGAAGAAGGUCUUCGGAUCGUAAAACUCUGUUAUUAGGGAAGAACAAAUGUGUAAGUAACUAUGCACGUCUUGACGGUACCUAAUCAGAAAGCCACGGCUAACUACGUG
rnacentral:rRNA from 1 species